CGUGAUCUCGACUCACUGCAACCUCCGCCUCCUGGGAUCAAGUGAUUCUCGUGCCUCAGCCUCCUGAGUAGCCGGGACUACAGUUGUCCCUUGGUGUGGGAUUGCUUCCAGUACCUCUGUGUGUAACAAAAGCUGCACCAUUCAAGUCCCACAGUUGCCCUGCGAAACCUCUGUAUAUGAAAAGUUGGCCCUCCAUGUACAUGGGUUUCCCAUCCUGUUGGCAUUCUUCUUGUUUCGUCUCCUCCUCCUUUCCCUGGAUGAUCUUAUUUCCUCCCUGGUCUUUAACCAUCACCUGCAGGCUGACAGCUCCCAAAUCUCUAUCUUCAAUCCAGAUGUCUGUCCCGGGCUCCAGUUUUGUGGUUCCACCUGAGACCUUUCCACCUAUAUGCUUUACAGGUCACAGAAUUUUCCACACUCCUUGACAGAGGUGCUUAACCCUUAUCCAUCAGCAUUCUCAGACAGCACCUCCGGUUAGGGACAGUAUCUGACCGUCCGACAUCCCUGCAGCCCCCAUGUGUCACACAGACUCAGCCUCAGGUAGAUGGUUUCCGUAGAUGGUGGCUUUCUUUGGACCCUUGACAUCAACCAGUUACUAUUUGCUCAGCAAGGCCCACAUUUUCCCGGUGAAGCCACAGAACCACAGGGAGAAACCCAUGGACUUCGCCUCUCUCUCUAGGGGACCAGAUGUGCAGAGGUAAUGAAUACCAGGGAAUCAGGAAACCACUGGAUCAGUUCUUUGAGCCACAGAACAACACUCAUCCCAGCAGCUGGGAAGCUAUCUGCAAAAGUCCAUCUGCAGAAAGGGCUUCCUGGUCUUGCGUGUGGCUGGGCCAUUUCUCUGGAUGCAGGUUUUUCAUUAUACAGUCUUCUCAAAGAACCACCUGCUCUCAACACC
rnacentral:lncRNA from 1 species